rnacentral:rRNA from 1 species
GACGAAGGAUGCAAGCGUUAUCCGGAUUCAUUGGGUUUAAAGGGAGCGUAGGUGGCCUUAUAAGUCAGUGGUGAAAUCUCUCGGCUUAACCGAGAAAUUGCCAUUGAUACUGUAGGGCUUGAGUAUAGUUGCCGUUGGCGGAAUAUGACAUGUAGUGGUGAAAUACAUAGAGAUGUCAUAGAACACCGAUUGCGAAGGCAGCUGACGAAACUAUAACUGACACUGAGGCUCGAAAAGUGCGGGGAGCAAACAGG